CACAYGACUCUCGGCAACGGAUAUCUCGGCUCUCGCAUCGAUGAAGAACGUAKCGAAAUGCGAUACCUGGUGUGAAUUGCAGAAUCCCGCGAACCAUCGAGUCUUUGAACGCAAGUUGCGCCCGAGGCCUUSUGGCCGAGGGCACGCCUGCCUGGGCGUCACGC
rnacentral:rRNA from 1 species